ACCAACCAAAAAAUUACUUUUUUUCUUUCCAGGGCUCUUUUUGGAGAAACUUAAAAAUUUUCCAGGGCUACUUUUUCAUUUUCCAGGGCUCUUUUUCCACUUUCCAGGGCUACAAUUUCUGGAGCUAUUUCGCGGCUUUUUUGCGUUUGUGUGUGUGUGUAUGUGUGUGUGUGUAGAACCUCCAUGAAUUAAUCCAAGUUUGAAUGUUUGAUACUUGGUUGACGUGAGCUUUGCGUGUUUACUAUUUAGUGUUAUAGCCCAUUUGCUAAAUUAAUCUAGAAAGAUCUGUAUUCGUGUCUAAAGACAAUGUAAAAGAAAAAGAAAGUUCUGAAUUUGUACAAUUCUGAGGUAAUUUAUUUUAUCAUACAAUAUAGGUACCUGCAAAUGUUAUGAAGUUGAACAAAUAUCCUUCGUACAUAUUUGACUGAAAGUUAUUAAAUGACACUUUUUAAAAAAGACUUAAAAUUAUUCAUACAAAAUAAUGAUAUAAGUCAUAAAGGUCAUUGAAUUGUUAAGCGUUCGUAUCAGUUACACAGAUUCAUGACAAAAAGGCCUACCAGAACCAAAACUGGCAAUUUCCAUCAUCCAUCAUGAAUGCCUAGCCUUGCACGGCCUCUAAUUGAAAUGAACUUAUCCACGUCUUUGCAAAUUUUACCUGACCUAAUUUCUCCACACAGUGAGAGAGGCCAUGUGGCAGCCAAACCAAAACAGAAUGAAAAGGGCGGCAAUCUCGUACCCCCCCCCCCCCCCACCACCACAAGAAUAUCAGAUUUCCAAACAUGUGCUUCUCAAGAUUGUGCAAUACAUGACGGAGACAAAGAAAGUUAUGUAAACAAAUUGCCGAGGGUUGAUGUCCCUGAAUUAAGGGGCUAGUCUACGUUUUCAGUCACUUAAGAAAAUGGCGAACUGGCCAAAGGUGAAAUACAUCAUUGAAAAAAAAAUGAAUGUUUGGAUUAAAAUAACGAAGAUUAAAUGAAAUAUGACUGAAAAAUAUCCAUAGUUGAAUCUCUACUUUUAUUACUGACAGAACAAUAACAUCAUUUUUUUUAUUAACUUCUUGCCAAUAUUCCAAUAAGGCAAGACUCCCAUUUAAGACUAGCAAGCAAACGUUAUCAAUG